GGUGGGGGGAUGACGGUACCGGAAGAAUAAGCACCGGCUAACUACGUGCCAGCAGCCGCGGUAAUACGUAGGGUGCAAGCGUUAAUCGGAAUUACUGGGCGUAAAGCGUGCGCAGGCGGUUCGCUAAGACCGAUGUGAAAUCCCCGGGCUUAACCUGGGAACUGCAUUGGUGACUGGCGGGCUAGAGUAUGGCAGAGGGGGGUAGAAUUCCACGUGUAGCAGUGAAAUGCGUAGAGAUGUGGAGGAAUACCGAUGGCGAAGGCAGCCCCCUGGGCCAAUACUGACGCUCAUGCACGAAAGCGUGGGGAGCAAACAGGAUUAGAUACCCUGGUAGUCCACGCCCUAAACGAUGUCAACUAGUUGUCGGGUCUUCAUUGACUUGGUAACGAAGCUAACGCGUGAAGUUGACCGCCUGGGGAGUACGGUCGCAAGAUUAAAACUCAAAGGAAUUGACGGGGACCCGCACAAGCGGUGGAUGAUGUGGAUUAAUUCGAUGCAACGCGAAAAACCUUACCUACCCUUGACAUGUACG
rnacentral:rRNA from 1 species